UGGUUUUUUCGAUCCUUAUGCAUGUAUAGUAUAAUUGCCCCUGCACUCAGAAAAACAACAUUAUGCUCCUGCUUAAUCUGUGUAUAGUUGAAUUUUCUUACUAAAUUUUUGCCAAGGAAAUAACUAAUGCAAUGAACAAAAAGUAAGAAUCUCAUAAUUACCCAACACCAUGAAGACUAGAAGAGAAAUCAUACAAAGGAAGGUGGCAGAUAAAGCCACAGCAAUAUGCUAAUGCAUGUCUAUCUCUCUUCAUUUCCAAUUUCAUCUUCUCUUCACAUGUAAAUCAAUCACCAAUGAAUAGCUGAUCGACAGAAACAUCUUAGGGGGUAUUUGUAUAUUUUCUCUAAAGGACUUUCAAUCAGUUCUUGGCCCUGAUAGAGUUGUUUUCCUUGAUCCUUACUCGGUUGUCCAGCUUGACAAAGCGUUUAAGGUCGUCAUAUGGGAGAGUUUCUACAUUUUUCCUUCUUAGCUCGCUCAGUGCGGGACGUUUAUCAAGAAGGUGCCACAGCCAAUCUGGGUAUUCAGAGUCUGCCAAAAAAUUUGGGGUCUGCUCCAUCCUUAAGGAUAUUGGCACCAACCACUGUAGUGGACUUGACAUCUUUGCUGAGGAUUGACGCCGUUGGACCAUCAGCAGUUGCACCCCCUUUAGAGCCUUUCUUUGCUUUAGCAGCAAAUGUUCUGCGACCUACAACCUCAACUACCUCAUUGCUGAUGUUAAUGCUCCUUAAAGAUUUUAUGAUGUUCAUUGCCAUGACUAAACCCUGC
rnacentral:lncRNA from 1 species